rnacentral:ribozyme from 1 species
AGCUGAAGCGGGCGAUGAAUGCGGCGAUGGCAGUGGCAAAAAUGAAGCGAUUUGCAGCUGCAGCGCUGUCAAAAAAGAAGACAGAGAACAGCAGCUAAUAUAGAGCAGAUGAGAGAGAAUGGAGUGAAGUGGAGU